ACGGGGGGAGCAAGCGUUGUUCGGAUUUACUGGGCGUAAAGGGCGGGUAGGCGGCCACUGCAAGUCGGUUGUGAAAUCUCCGGGCUUAACUCGGAAAGGUCAAUCGAUACUGCAGGGCUAGAGUGCAGAAGGGGCAACUGGAAUUCUCGGUGUAGCGGUGAAAUGCGUAGAUAUCGGGAGGAACACCUGUGGCGAAAGCGGCUCACUGGACCACAACUGACGCUGAUGCGCGAAAGCUAGGGGAGCAAACAGGA
rnacentral:rRNA from 1 species